rnacentral:rRNA from 1 species
GACGAACGCUGGCGGCGUGCUUAACACAUGCAAGUCGAACGGAAAGGCCCUGCUUUUGUGGGGUGCUCGAGUGGCGAACGGGUGAGUAACACGUGAGUAACCUGCCCUUGACUUUGGGAUAACUUCAGGAAACUGGGGCUAAUACCGGAUAGGAGCUCCUGCUGCAUGGUGGGGGUUGGAAAGUUUCGGCGGUUGGGGAUGGACUCGCGGCUUAUCAGCUUGUUGGUGGGGUAGUGGCUUACCAAGGCAUUGACGGGUAGCCGGCCUGAGGGGGUGACCGGACACAUUGGGACUGAGGUACGGCCCAAACUCCUACGGGGGGCAGUGGUGGGGCAUAUUGCAAAAUGGGAGGAAGCCUAAUGCAGAAACGCCGCGUGCGGGAUGCCGGCCUUCGGGUGGUAAACCGCUUUCGCAUGUGACGAAGCGUGAGUGACGGUAAUGGGUAAAGAAGCACCGGCUAACUACGUG